AUGCCUUUACUGACUCCAAAUCUACUUCAUUAAGAAUGGUGGGGCUGUCACGCAAUGGCUGCAAACAGCCCCCCUCCUGGUAGCUAUAGAAGCCUGUCCAGUGUAUAUGUUGCCCUAAGGGACCCUGGAGACAGGU
rnacentral:snoRNA from 1 species